CUAUCGGGUCUCGAAUCAAGACUGGACCCCAGAGUAUAAAUGUUAUCUGUUUUAAUUUGAAUGGGUUGAAUGACAUUUCCCGGUAAAACAUUUCUAUCUCUAGCCUUAUGCCUUGUUCAGAUUACAGCUGAAUAACAUGUUAUUCGAAGGUGUUACUUCUGAAUAACAAAAGCGUUCGCACUAGCAUUUUAGGUAAUACUAUUUGACAGCUGACAGCAUGUGUCAAGCGCCAAUUUUUUUCGAGCAGUUUGUUGUUUGUUUACAAAUAUGCAGCGAGAUUCUUCAAAUUAGAAUUCAAUUAUUAUUAAACAAUUAUUAAACAAUUAUUAUUAAACAAUUUCUGUUUGCGAUUAAAGAACUGUUUAGCGGUAAUGGGAUUUAUUAAUUUGCUAUUUUCUUCGUAAUUGCAAGAAGCGGACCAAACUCCGAAGGCGUGAGUUCAGUAUGGGAUGAAACAGAUAGUGAUUAGUGUGCGCUAAAAAGCCAGAAGUAUUUGUGUGCUUCGUUUAAAUUUUAUUUUGCAAGUAGGUUACAAGUAGGUAAUUUCAUUAGCUUUUUUACUGAUGUUGCUUUCUAUAUAAAAUAGUGUGUAUUGUUUGUCUUAGGUUUCGUCACCGGUGAACGGGAUGUGAAGUCGAGGAUUUCAUAAAUAUUACACAGGCAGAAUGCAUCAAUGGAGCCUGGAAGGUCAAGAUGGAUCAGAAAUAAUACAAUGUUUAGCAGCUGCAAGACGAGCCAACGUGAAUUCAAGUUAAACAAAAUUGUAUCGCCAAAACAGUGUGACAAUGGAAUUCAUGGAACAACUUCAGCGCGAGAAACAGGAUUCCUGGAACCCGAACUAACUCGAGAACUACGGUGGAAAUUCCAAAAAUAUUCAGUGCUAUCGUUUGAAGCGACCGACGGCUUUUUACUGGGAUGCGUCUAGUCCUUGGACCCAAUGGGAAGUAUCAUCAGUGUUGGUUGUCCUCCCCUAUUUGGUUGUAUCGUUGAUCGGAUUAUUCUGAACCUAUUUUGUAGAUCCAGUUUUGCUCAAAAGGUCACCAAUCGGAAAACCACAAGUUGCCGGUAGUGAUAGUAUUAUAAUUGGUUUUAAGAGUAAGAAACCCACCGUCGUUUCGCCCACGAAGUAACUUCCAAUUUUUAUAAUAAAAUAACAAUUAAACAACGCAGGAUGAUAUCGCACGUAAUCAUCAUCAUAGGAGAUGGUAUUAGUUGCCAAAAUCAGCUAAAACCAUUCAUCACAUUCCAUUUAUAUCUCAACUUAGGUGAACGAGGCCAGGCACGGAACUACGUUGUUGUGUUUCGCUAGGAAGGGAUCGUGGAGUACUACUAACUAAAAUAGAUACUAGAGUAAAAUGAUUCAAACGAAAUAAAGAUAUUCAAACGCA